AUCAGUAUGUUUAAAUCUUGGUGAUAACAAACAAGUGGUAAUUAAAGGGUGCUCUUUAAUAAUUCACUAGCGCAGGUACCGCGCAUUGUGAUGGAAAAAUAAAUAAAAAAUAAAAUUAAAAAUUAAAAAAAUAAAAAGAGUUAAAGAAUAAAAAAGAAUAUAAACAAAAAAAACUAAAGAGAAGGCAGCUAUAGUAAAAGUAUAAGAAUAAAAAUAUAAAAAAUAUAAAAGAAUAACAAAAAACUAUAAGAAUAAUAAACUAUAAGAAUAAUAAAUUAUAUUUAUAACAACAGUAAAAGUUGAGAAUUAAAAGAUUAUGGUUUAUAGCUCGAGUCAGAAAUUAUAACUAAUUAAACUUUGAGAACUUAAGCGUCACAUACUUAAUAGUUUGAACAAAAAAAUAUAAGCAUUAAAAUUUGAAGACAAAAGUAUACCACGUCCGUAGUUUGGGACCAAAAGCGUAGUUUACUUUUUAUAUAUAUUUUAAUUUUAUUUCGGAUGAAGAUAAAAUUGAUCAUCGAUCGAUUUUAUUUAAUUAGUAAUUUUAUUCGACGAAAAAAUAUAUUAAACUUGUUAAAUGUGGCCUAUGUGAUUUCUUUAAGACGAUCUAUAAAGAUAUGGUCGGUUUAUUCAAGUCGAUAUAUAAAGAUACGGUAGAUCUAACAGUUAGAAUGUAUCUGGACACGUCCUUGAUGGAUGGACGUGACUUAACAUCCUUACAUUAAGUUAUAUAUAAAUAUGUAACAUAUAAGAGUUCCGAUCUAACUCUAAUCCUAAUUCUGUGACGAUUCCAUCUCCGGAAAUUAGAGAAUUAGACUCGAAACAUCCAGCACUUUCGUAGAUCGUGAAUAAGGACAAACCACGAGCAAGAAUCACCAUCCACAAUUCAGAUUUAGAAAUCGAAAUUAUGGCAGAAGGUAUGAUCUUAAUUUAUUAUAGCGUUUAACAUGUGGUAUCAAAGCUGCAUCUUUCGUCGGAUUUUUGUUUCUUUUUAGAUUUUGUUUGAUUUUGUAGCAUCUCUCGAGCUUAGCUAUCUCACUGACUACAGCAUCAGUGGCUUGUCGACACAUCUGUAGAGUGUCGGGACGAGUUAUAGUCGUUUUGGUGCGAAAUAGACGCGAAAACGAACUCAAGAGUUGUGAAAGUUGGAGUUUGGAUACUGAAAUCUGCAAAAGUAGGAUUUUGAGUAUUGUUUACCGGUACCUGAGAGGAGUACCGG
rnacentral:lncRNA from 1 species